AGUCCAUUUUAUUGAAUUCAAGCUCAAACUAAGUUUAAAAAAGGAGAAAUAUUGUAUGUAGGAAGGCACUCCACAGCUCCAAAGUACAUGGAAACAACUGUAGGUGAAAUAAUGAUUAUAAAAUAGUGCCUAUACAUAAUAACCAUUCAUUUACAUAUAUAUGGGUGGAUGAUAUGGACAAAGUUAAUAUGAACAGUAUUACAUUAUCUUGACAUCACUAUGUAAGAUUUAGGAAAUAAACUUAGUUAUUUUUACAUUAAAUGCAAUUAAGAAUGCUAAUAAAUUGGGGACUCAAUUUAAACAUUUCAAUGCUGAGUUCAACUUUUUCCAAUUCAUUUUAUUUCUCAUUCCGUCUGAACUGUCAGUGUCUCUUUCUUCAGCGUCUUGAUUUCUGCACAUGGAGGCGAGCAGAUGCUGAGAUGAGAGCUUCUUCAGUGUGUGUGUGAGGAGCUUCACAAACCUGCCGCCACAGAGGAAGCACAUAGUGACAACUUCAUCUGCACAGUCGUCCUUCUGAUCUGGUCGGGAGUGAGCAUUUCUUCUUUGUCGUCAGGGAAACCCUGGAUGUACUGCGGGAGUCUCGGUCUCACCAGUGGGCCUGCACGCUGCACCUCUGGUGGUCCAAUGCUGCUCCAAGGUCCCCUACAGUUACCAUGUGUUACCACAGGGAGGCACUGCAGGGGUCUUGGUGGUGGAGCGGCUGUAGACUCUGGAGUCUACAGGAGGACUCUGCUCCCCUUUUCACCUCUGGACGGUGUUUGGGGUCAGCCAGUGGCAGCAGCUGAGGGAACAUAAAAUUACAACAGAGUGAAUGAUUAAUUAAAAGCGAUAAUAAGAAUUA